rfam:Lactobacillus algidus DSM 15638 Scaffold16, whole genome shotgun sequence.
AUCGAAAGAAGAGGAUGCAGUUUUCAUGAGUAUGUUUAACGAGGCAAUUAAGUGCUGAAGAACUUAAACAGAAAGGGUAGACUGCCGAAGUGGACGCUAACUUAAAUUUAGUGACUGCUGGGUUUUGGCUUAAUAAGUCAAAGACUGUCGUGGUCAAUAACGACCACGGGGCGCUUAUAACGAU